UACGUAGGGGGCAAGCGUUGUCCGGAAUUAUUGGGCGUAAAGCGCGCGUAGGCGGCUUUGCAAGUCGGGUGUGAAAUCCCCAGGCUUAACCUGGGAACUGCAUUCGAGACUGCAUUGCUAGAGUAUGGGAGAGGGAAGUGGAAUUUCCGGUGUAGCGGUGAAAUGCGUAGAUAUCGGAAGGAACAUCAGUGGCGAAAGCGACUUCCUGGACCAAUACUGACGCUCAUGUGCGAAAGCGUGGGGAGCAAACAGGG
rnacentral:rRNA from 1 species